GGGUUGUGAGGUUAAGCGACUAAGCGUACACGGUGGAUGCCCUGGCAGUCAGAGGCGAUGAAGGACGUGCUAAUCUGCGAUAAGCGUCGGUAAGGUGAUAUGAACCGUUAUAACCGGCGAUUUCCGAAUGGGGAAACCCAGUGUGUUUCGACACACUAUCAUUAACUGAAUCCAUAGGUUAAUGAGGCGAACCGGGGGAACUGAAACAUCUAAGUACCCCGAGGAAAAGAAAUCAACCGAGAUUCCCCCAGUAGCGGCGAGCGAACGGGGAGCAGCCCAGAGCCUGAAUCAGUAUGUGUGUUAGUGGAAGCGUCUGGAAAGGCGCGCGAUACAGGGUGACAGCCCCGUACACAAAAAUGCACAUAUUGUGAGCUCGAUGAGUAGGGCGGGACACGUGGUAUCCUGUCUGAAUAUGGGGGGACCAUCCUCCAAGGCUAAAUACUCCUGACUGACCGAUAGUGAACCAGUACCGUGAGGGAAAGGCGAAAAGAACCCCGGCGAGGGGAGUGAAAAAGAACCUGAAACCGUGUACGUACAAGCAGUGGGAGCACGCUUAGGCGUGUGACUGCGUACCUUUUGUAUAAUGGGUCAGCGACUUAUAUUCUGUAGCAAGGUUAACCGAAUAGGGGAGCCGAAGGGAAACCGAGUCUUAACUGGGCGUUAAGUUGCAGGGUAUAGACCCGAAACCCGGUGAUCUAGCCAUGGGCAGGUUGAAGGUUGGGUAACACUAACUGGAGGACCGAACCGACUAAUGUUGAAAAAUUAGCGGAUGACUUGUGGCUGGGGGUGAAAGGCCAAUCAAACCGGGAGAUAGCUGGUUCUCCCCGAAAGCUAUUUAGGUAGCGCCUCGUGAACUCAUCUCCGGGGGUAGAGCACUGUUUCGGCAAGGGGGUCAUCCCGACUUACCAACCCGAUGCAAACUGCGAAUACCGGAGAAUGUUAUCACGGGAGACACACGGCGGGUGCUAACGUCCGUCGUGAAGAGGGAAACAACCCAGACCGCCAGCUAAGGUCCCAAAGUCAUGGUUAAGUGGGAAACGAUGUGGGAAGGCCCAGACAGCCAGGAUGUUGGCUUAGAAGCAGCCAUCAUUUAAAGAAAGCGUAAUAGCUCACUGGUCGAGUCGGCCUGCGCGGAAGAUGUAACGGGGCUAAACCAUGCACCGAAGCUGCGGCAGCGACACUAUGUGUUGUUGGGUAGGGGAGCGUUCUGUAAGCCUG
rnacentral:rRNA from 1 species